AAAAAGACAAACCCUGGGUUUCCGUGUCCAACGUUUGACUGUCCGUUUUAUAUGAAAUUUUUUUAUAAUCAGUAUUUUUAUUGCUGUUAUAUGAUAAAACAUGAUUAAUACUUUAUGUGUGACUU
rnacentral:pre_miRNA from 1 species